rnacentral:rRNA from 1 species
CCUACGGGAGGCAGCAGUGGGGAAUAUUGCGCAAUGGAGGAAACUCUGACGCAGCAACGCCGCGUGGGUGAAGAAGGUCUUCGGAUUGUAAAGCCCUGUCGGGAGGGAAGAACGGCACAUGGAGAAUGUGUAUGACGGUACCUUCGAAGGAAGCACUGGCUAACUCCGUGCCAGCAGCCGCGGUAAUACGGAGAGUGCAAACGUUGUUCGGAAUUAUUGGGCGUAAAGGGCGCGUAGGCGGCUUGGUAAGUCAGAUGUGAAAGCCCGGGGCUCAACCCUGGAAGUGCGUUUGAAACUGCUGAGCUUGAGUGCAGGAGGGAGAGGUGGAAUUCCAGGUGUAGGAGUGAAAUCCGUAGAUAUCUGGAGGAACACCGGUGGCGAAGGCGACCUCUUGGCCUGAAACUGACGCUGAGGCGCGAAGGCGUGGGGAGCAAACAGGAUUAGAUACCCGAGUAGUC